AUUGAACGCUGGCGGAAUGCUUUACACAUGCAAGUCGAACGGCAGCACGGGGGCAACCCUGGUGGCGAGUGGCGAACGGGUGAGUAAAGCAUCGGAACGUACCCGGAAGUGGGGGAUAACUAUCCGAAAGGAUAGCUAAUACCGCAUAUUCUGUGAGCAGGAAAGUGGGGGAUCGCAAGACCUCACGCUUUCGGAGCGGCCGAUGUCGGAUUAGCUAGUUGGUGGGGUAAAGGCCUACCAAGGCGACGAUCCGUAGCUGGUCUUAGAGGAUGAUCAGCACCCCUGGGACUGAGACACGGCCCAGACUCCUACGGGAGGCAGCAGUGGGGAAUUUUGGACAAUGGGGGCAACCCUGAUCCAGCCAUGCCGCGUGAGUGAAGAAGGCCUUCGGGUUGUAAAGCUCUUUCGGACGGAAAGAAAUGGCCUUGGCUAAUACCCAGGGUCGAUGACGGUACUGUCAGAAGAAGCACCGGCUAACUACGUGCCAGCCGCCGCCGUAA
rnacentral:rRNA from 1 species